rnacentral:lncRNA from 1 species
AAGGAUCAGUCGGCUCUCGUUAACCAAAAUCCCACAGUCCUUUAUUUACUGUGCUCUCGUAUCUGUUCACUUAACAGGUCAAUUGCCCAGAGGCUUCUCCUCCUGUUUUCCAUCUAUUUAUAUACGUGGACCAUAAUAAGCCUCUUGGAACCAGAAGUUACUGGGCCUACAUAAACACCUGCUCUGGUUUUUUGUUUGUCUUUUACCCGAAAUCAGCAAAGUUUUUUUUUUUUUAAAUGAAUCUGCAAAACCAUGUCAAAGCUAUCAACUCAUGCAUGGAGUCGGAAAACAAAGGAGGAUUCUAAUAAUGUUUAUUUUCCUCUUUAUCAGAGACCCCCCCCCCAUACAAAAUCCCAAACCAAAAGAGGAGCCUAUAAAGGAAUGUCUAAACUGCUCACAGAGCUUUCUUUUCACAAAACGAGCGAGAAACCAUCAACAGGGCAGGGAAGGCAAACACGUCUGCCCCACACUGCUUGUGCUUUCUUGGGUCACAGAGACACAUCCGAGCAGGUCAUGGGCUGCUUCCACCGACAGAUGUCCUGAUGUGAAGGAGAGUACCACUGAAGAAAAUGCCUGAACUGCUAUUAUCUGCAUCCUUCAAGCGCUGGACAGGAUUACGACGUGCCGUUAACAUUAGCCUCAGCACAGUGUCUGGAUGAUCAGCCAUGCCUCUUGUAAAUGUCCCACAUAAACCCUGCAGGCCAUGGGCGGUCACCAUGUGAGAGACAGCAUGGCUCCAUCAGUUGGUUACUGCGGGAUUUCUGCAAAGUAUGGUUCAGAGGAUGUCAGGUCUGUUAGGACCCCUGGGCUGGGAGGGGAAAGGUAGAGGAGGGGUCAGUGACCAGCACAGGACAGAAAAGCAUCUUAAGCAAAUAUUGGAUUGUGAGCAUCGAAGAGAAACAACUCAAGAGGGCCUUCCAGCUGGCUCUAGCUGGCACCCGUUCAAUUCUUCCGGCCAUGAUGUGCCCACAAGAACGCCCCAGGAGAGAUGCUUCUGUAAGGGAGCAGCCACCAGCCACCUAAAUGAGGUCAACGGAAAGAAUGGAAAUAGUUGGAGCCUGGGGAUGACAUCAAACACUGGGUGGGUGAGGGGGAGAAAGGAGGUAUGUGGAGAGAGAGGCAGCCCAAGGGAGGCAGAGACAUGGAUGGGAGGAGUGACAGAAGGGCAGGACUUCAGGCUCUGCACCUCUUUCCGGGUGUUGUUGCCAGCCCUACUCCAACCCUGAGCCAUAAUCAACUUCCUUAAUGAAAUACGUAAUUAACAUAUUAUAAUUGUAGUAAAGAUGAUUUUGACAGAAAUCAUUUUCCAUAUCUAAUACUAUGCUAAUUUAAUCUGUUCCUUACUCCCCGACAUGACCUUUAAUGAUUAAGUUUCAUGGUGGAAUUUGUGUGUGUGUGUGUGUGUGUGUGUGUGUGUGUGUGUGUGUGUUUUGAUGGAUUGAUUUUUCCAGUGUAGUGUUUGAGACCCCUUUGUUGGCAUGCCUGUCAUUUUUCUCUCUCCUUAGAAAUCUCUCAGAGACAUGCAUGACCACACUCACUCAAAAGAAAAAUUUCAUGAAAAGAAGAUGUUAAUCUACUCUUCCCUGACGUGACCCAAGAAGCUGGCCAGUCAUAGACAUACUAAGUAAGGCAAUGGCCAGCAGGCCUUGUCAAGACAGCCUAUUUCUUCUAACUACCUGAGCUCUGACUUGAGUCAUGUCUGUGUUUGUGGCAUAUGUCAUUGCUAUAAUUAAAAUACAGCAAACCCAUCAAAGUAUUUGGUUAUCUAAGGUAUGACUAUAAGAUGGAAGUAUAAAUAAUGUCUUAAUUUUAACAAGAUGUUUUAAUCGUACACUACUCUUAGUUUUGUACCUUAUCAAUGUAAUUAUGUUAACUCAAAACAGCCUUACUGAAUCAUCUUAAUGAUCUAGCAGAUACACAUAUAAUUAAGGAGAAAUGGCUGAACUUCUUCCCUUCUUUUUGACAGCAUGAAAUCAGUUACUCGGAGGGAUCCAAAGAGUUUAAUGAGGAGUUGGAACACAUAAAAAAACACAGGCAAUGGUACUCCAGGCUGGUGUUUCUGUAAAUUUCACUUCAGCUUAUAAUAAGGAGAUAAUAUACUGUAUGACCCAAAAUACAGAUGUUGGAGUCAUUUCAACAUUCAGGACAUGUUCCAAGCGAUUUGCUUGUGUUUAAUCCCACCCCAUCCCAUGAAAAAAUAGUGGUUAAAGGCUAGGAGGCUGAGCCAAUCAUAGCAUGAGGAUCUGAGUUCAGAUCCCCAGCACAGGUCAAAAGCAUGUGAGGCAGAGCCUUGGACUCCUGAUGGACAGCUAGCCUGGUCAUCUUGUGGAUGAGUUCUAGGCGAAUGAGAGGUCAACUCAAAUAAAAGUGAGAGAUUCCUGCUCUUGUUUCAUUUCUGUUGCUGUAAUAAAACACUUUGACCAAAAGGAAUGCAAGCUGGAGGCAAGGGUUUGUUUUUCUUUGUUUGUUUGAUUGGUUGCUUUUUUAUUUAUUUUUUAUUCUUUUAUUUAUUCUUUUUUUAUAGUUUACAGGUCACAAUCCAUUAUCGAAGGAGGUCAGAAACAAUGGAGGAAUUCUGUUUUCUGGAGGGAUCUCAGGUUUCUGAUAAGUUAUCUUUCCUAUAUAGCCCAGGGCCAUCUAUCUGCAUCAGGGAAUGAAUGAUGUCUCCCACAGUGGGCACGGCCAUUAUUAUGAAGUAAUAAUCAAGACAAUCUCUCAUUUGGACCUCCCUUCUUCAGUUACUCUACACUGUGUGCCACGUUGACUGUUAAAACUGACUAGGGUGGUGUCUGAGGAAGGCUUCCGACCUCCACGGUCGCGCUCACAUACACGGACACUGCAUAGGAGUAUGCACAUACAUGCACACACAUACACACACACACACACACACACACACACACACACACACACACAUGGUGGUUGAGAUUGAGUGAAAUUUCACUAUUUAUCGCAAUUUUUUAACCAAAGAGUGUCAAUAACUGAAACAAUCAAGUUGUAUAGGUCUUUGGUUGUUGCAUUUAAGACCAGUCCUAUAUAACACACUCUGGCCUUGAACCCUCUAUACAGCCACAGAUGACUUUGAACUCUACCCUCCUGCCUCCUGCUCCCAAGUAGGGGAAUUUCAGGUGUGUGCUACCAUGUGUGAGUCUAUCAGUACGUGCUCUAGCUUUAAUGUAUGAUUUAUAGCCAAUUCCAUCAAUCACAAUUGAGUGUUAUGAUUUUAGCAUGCUUGGGUGUUUUGUUUUUUAUGUCAGGGGAAUGAGUAAGGAGAAUUUUCUAAAGACUCAAUCAAGGCUGAAAAAUAUAUACAUGGGAAUGGUAAAGUUCACAUAACAUUUUGUCCUCCUUUCUUCCUGUGGAAAAAAUGGGUAUGAGCUUAAAAGCUUGCAUUUGUCAUAGUUAAAAGAAAAUUAUUCCAGAAUAUUAAUAAAUUGGAUAUGCUUAAUAUCGAAAAGAGAAGCAUAUGGAAAUAUUAGAAGUCAACAAGAGCUUCUGGGCCAGCUUAGCUACGCCACGGCAUUGGAAGAAUUUGGAAAAGACGUUAAAUAGUUGCAGAAAAUUCUUAUUGCAUUGGUUAUUCCUUAUAUAAAUUAUACAGUAGGAACACCAAGUAAGAACAGACUGGCUGUAUGUGCUUAGGAUACACACUGUGAAAACGACCAACUUAAAUCCCUUUCUUAUGUUGAAAGUUGAUAUCCUCAAAAUAUUAAAAACAAUAUCAAGAGGACAUGGAUGUCUGAAUGUGACUUACUAUUAAAUACGUUUAUCAUUUUUGGUAAUUCUGGGAACUUGAACUCUUUGACUUUCAUGCAAAGAUUGUGAUGACAUGAGCAAAGAUGGUGGGAAUGGAUUUGAGAAGCACCUGGGAACCUAGAAAAAAAAAAAACCGCGCAUAUCUUUGGAACACAGACACUUUAGCCUAGUUGUACUCUAUAAAGUUUCACUGUGACCUUUUAUCCUACCAGG